rnacentral:lncRNA from 1 species
UUAUCAACAUGGAUUAAAAUCAAACUCCAAGAAACAAAAUUGGGUACCUAUUAUAACUUUGGGAUUCUUUUUGUAAAUUAGAGAAUUGAAUUUGAGAGUAAACUUGAUAAAGUUUUUUAAAACAUUGAUUUUGAAUGAUUUGAGUAUGUAAUGAAUUUUAAAGAGUUAUGCAAAGUCACGGUUGUUUUGGGUGACUCUA